UGACCGCUGGCGGCGUGCCUACUACAUGCAAGUCGAGCGAACAGACGCGGAGCUUGCUCCUCUGACGUUAGCGGCGGACGGGUGAGUAACACGUGGAUAACCUACCUAUAAGACUGGGAUAACUUCGGGAAACCGGAGCUAAUACCGGAUAAUAUAUUGAACCGCAUGGUUCACUAGUGAAAGACGGUUUUGCUGUCACUUAUAGAUGGAUCCGCGCCGCAUUAGCUAGUUGGUAAGGUAACGGCUUACCAAGGCAACGAUGCGUAGCCGACCUGAGAGGGUGAUCGGCCACACUGGAACUGAGACACGGUCCAGACUCCUACGGGAGGCAGCAGUAGGGAAUCUUCCGCAAUGGGCGAAAGCCUGACGGAGCAACGCCGCGUGAGUGAUGAAGGUCUUCGGAUCGUAAAACUCUGUUAUUAGGGAAGAACAAAUGUGUAUGUAACUAUGCACGUCUUGACGGUACCUAAUCAGAAAGCCACGGCUAACUACGUG
rnacentral:rRNA from 1 species